AAUGAACGCUGGCGGCAUGCCUAACACAUGCAAGUCGAACGAAGGCUUCGGCCUUAGUGGCGCACGGGUGCGUAACGCGUGGGAAUCUGCCCUCAGGUUCGGAAUAACAGCGAGAAAUUGCUGCUAAUACCGGAUGAUAUCGCGAGAUCAAAGAUUUAUCGCCUGAGGAUGAGCCCGCGUAGGAUUAGCUAGUUGGUGUGGUAAAGGCGCACCAAGGCGACGAUCCUUAGCUGGUCUGAGAGGAUGAUCAGCCAGACUGGGACUGGGACACGGCACAGACUCCAACGGGAGGCAGCAGUGGGGAAUAUUGGACAAUGGGCGAAAGCCUGAUCCAGCAAUGCCGCGUGAGUGAUGAAGGCCUUAGGGUUGUAAAGCUCUUUUACCCGGGAUGAUAAUGACAGUACCGGGAGAAUAAGCUCCGGCUAACUCCGUGCCAGCAGCCGCGGUAA
rnacentral:rRNA from 1 species